CUCAGGGUCCAUUAUUUUUGAUUAAGACUCAGGUUGAGAGACAUCCAGAUGUCAUUGUUGAUAAAAUUUUAUCUGUCUCGAUGAAACCGGAAUCAAAGGACAGAUAUUCCUGGUACGGGUAGACAUUGCAUGUGUGAGUCAUACUAACCCAUUUGCUGUUUUGUAGGUGUCAUCCGGUGCGCAUAGCCCGUCUGUUCAAAUUUCCUGCUAGGGACAACAAAUCCAAACUGAUGGAUCCACUCAACACCGGUAAAGGCAGACAUGUUCGGGAUUGGUUAUCCAGAUCAAGAGUCGUCUAGACCAAACAGAGGACGUCGUCCACCGUACAUCUUUGUCAGUGCGGGAAUGCUGAAUUCUGAUCAGGCUUGUUCAGUGAGUGAAGAGAUCGACCGCGACCGCGAGCUAGAGCUGUGGAUAAAGUCGUGCGUACCAGGCAAUUGGAAAGCCUCCAAAAGCAUCAUUGUCGCUCAUCCGGAAGAGUAGUUUUCCUGUGUUAAUUUUGUUUGCAUGAAAGCCGUACGUUUUGCCCGAAACGUAAUGGUCCAUUGUAAGGGCCAUCUCAUGUGUUUCAUUUUGCAACAUUUUGCAUCAGUAAUAAAUGGAUGUUUUUGUGAUCAAAAGCGGUGUUCCCUGUUUUU
rnacentral:lncRNA from 1 species